rnacentral:tmRNA from 1 species
GGGGACGUUACGGAUUCGACAGGGGUAGGUCGAGCUCAGGUUGCGCGUCGAGGUUACGACUCGUAAAACGUUAUCGCCUAAAUAUAACUGGCAAAGAAAACAAUUACUCUUUAGCAGCUGCGUAAGCACUUCUAAAGGAUCCUUCCCGCUUUCGCCCGUGAAGCGGAUUGAAGGGUCUCAACUGAAGCGGGCUAUACGGUUAUCCGCAGUCUGAGGAUGAGCGUUGAAAUCAAUCGGACUAGCUACUCGGAAGCCUGUUGGUAGGCUGAAGAGCUAGUGAAAGAUAAUAUACCAACUACACGUGUAGAAGCCUGAGUGCCGAUACCUUUGGACGCGGGUUCGACUCCCGCCGUCUCCACCA